rnacentral:rRNA from 1 species
GGAUGAACGCUAGCGGCAGGCCUAAUACAUGCAAGCCGAACGGCAAGUUUGAUAGCACUAUUGGACCUAGAGUGGCGCAAGGGUGCGUAACACGUAUGCAACCUGCCCGCGACAGGAGGAUAGCUCCCCGAAAGGGGAAUUAACCCUCCAUAACACCAUGAGAAGGCAUCUGAUUAUGGUUAAACCGCAAGGGGACGCGGAUGGGCAUGCGGUUGAUUAGCUAGUUGGCGGGGUAAAGGCCCACCAAGGCGGUGAUCAAUAGGGGUUCUGAGAGGAAGGUCCCCCACACUGGCACUGCGAUACGGGCCAGACUCCUACGGGAGGCAGCAGUAGGGAAUAUUGGACAAUGGUUGCAAGACUGAUCCAGCCAUGCCGCGUGCAGGAAGAAGGCCUUCUGGGUCGUAAACUGCUUUUUCCUGGGGAUAAAAUACCCGUGCGCGGGGAAUUGAAGUUAACAGGGGAAUAAGCCACGGCUAACUACGUG